UACGUAGGGGGCGAGCGUUGUCCGGAUUUAUUGGGCGUAAAGAGCUCGUAGGCGGUUUGUCGCGUCUGCCGUGAAAGUCCGGGGCUCAACUCCGGAUCUGCGGUGGGUACGGGCAGACUAGAGUGAUGUAGGGGAGACUGGAAUUCCUGGUGUAGCGGUGAAAUGCGCAGAUAUCAGGAGGAACACCGAUGGCGAAGGCAGGUCUCUGGGCCGAUACUGACGCUGAGGAGCGAAAGCGUGGGGAGCGAACAGG
rnacentral:rRNA from 1 species